CGGAGGAAACCCAACAAGCGAGAACAUGCAAACUGCAUGCACACAGACACAGAGGUGGGAACUGAACUCACAACCCUGGAGAAGACUUUAUAUACUAAUCAACUACUUCUUUUAUACAUCUUAAUGUAAAUGACCAUGAGUGCUAGUUUAGUACACAGAUGGGGAACCCUGCUGACUUGACAGUUGUCCAGAUGAUCAUUGACACCCUGCACAAGGAUGGGCUACACAAAGGAGGAGAUGUACGGGACAAAGCCUCGGGCACUGGAGAACUUGCAGGCAGUAC